AGCAUUUUAACUUUUCCCCCUCUAAAGAAUUGCUACAUCCUUGUUUAUUAUUAUCAUUUUUUUAACAUCCCAAGCGUGUUCGAUUGUGCAGGCUAAACAAUCUCUUCGUUUGACACACUUUAACCGCUAACGUGUGAUUAGAUUACCUAAACAGACCUUUACCGUUCAAUUGAAUGAUUUGAUUAUACAAGCGUCUGGUAGUGCGUACCGCAUGUAAGACAACUUCUGACCGGACUGCCGCGUUACUUACAGCUGCUGGCGGCAGACGCCGUGCUGGCGACGCUCAGGAACAAAGCACCCAAGAUGAAAUUCGCCACAGCGGCUGCAUCUGAGUUUGGUUCAGGCAGGCCUUUAUGUGCUAGAUCGGAGAUCGCGAGAGAGCUGCAAUCAGGGAAGUGUCACGGAUGCAGGUGAUAUGUGCGUCCCCCACCGCCACCACCGUAACCGCCACCACCAAAGCAAAGGCCGCUUUUGAGUUCCUUUUGCCCCAGACAGACGGCUUCCACACUGCGAUAACACAGCUGACGAGGCCGCUUCAAGAUAAUGAUGAUGUAUGGGUGGUUUUGAUGCCGCAUGCACCUCAAAUCUCCUCAAAUCUCCCCCCUCGCUCUCACAGCUCCGUCCUCCGCCCCGGUCGCCCUCCCUCCUUGCC
ensembl:lncRNA